rnacentral:rRNA from 1 species
AUUGAACGCUGGAGGCAGGCCUAACACAUGCAAGUCGAACGGAGUGGCGGACGGGUGAGUAAUGUCGGGGAAAAUGCCUGAUGGAGGGGGAUAACUACUGGAAAAGGUAGCUAAUACCGCAUACUAUCAGAUGAGCCUAGGUCGGAUGAGCUAGUUGGUGGGGUAACGGCCUACCAAGGCGACGAUCCGUAACUGGUCUGAGAGGAUGAUCAGUCACACGGGAACUGAGACACGGUCCAGACUCCUACGGGAGGCAGCAGUGGGGAAUAUUGGACAAUGGGCGAAAGCCUGAUCCAGCCAUGCCGCGUGUGUGAAGAAGGUCUUCGGAUUGUAAAGCACUUUAAGUUGGGAGGCGUUACCAACAGAAUAAGCACCGGCUAACUUCGUGCCAGCAGCCGCGGUAAUAC